rnacentral:tRNA from 1 species
GGAUUGUGGCUCAGCGGUAGAUUGCUCGCCUAGCAUGGGCGGAACCCGGGUUCGAUCCUCAGCACCA